CCCUAUGCCGCCCUCUGGCUAUGCCUAGCCUACGGCCAGUGCAAGAAAUUUGAUUUCGCAAUCAAUCGCACAUGUGUGUUGUUUGUACACAAAGCUGACGCUGAGCACGUGUGUAAUUCUACCACACAUCUCGAAGUAGGCCUACACAUUUACAAUGUGAACUUAAUUUAAACGAAGAAGAAUUUCCGAUGGCGACGAAGCGCGACAGCUUUUCAAAGCUCUCUAUUUUACAGAAGAGGAAAAUGCUGCAACAAAUGAAGAGGCCACCAGUCUACUACGAGCCGGAGUACGGCUCCAGGCCAGGCCCAGUCCCAGUCUGAUUAUUGAGUCGAGUUUUGGCGAUUUGACAUCAGCUACGGGUUCGAAGAUUGCAGCAAGCAACGACGUUGUGUUCGAACAGAUCCCGUUGGUGCAGAGAGAGGUGGCUACUCAACAGAAGUAGAUUUCCCUUUCAAAAAGUCGGAUUGUUACAUUUCUGAAGCCGAUAUUAACUUUAAUUCACCAGGUCAACCCUGAGGAAGAAAACGUCAGAUGGUAUGUUUUGCUGACAUAGAGACAGAGUCUGACUCCUCUCAUUGCUCUGAAGCUGUAUCAUGUACGUGUAGAAGGAACUUGAGCAAAAAGCGAAAUGCAGCCUGUCUGGAAUUAGCGGCAAUACUGAGAAUGAAAUGCUGCAGAAGUUAUUGUCUUCAUAAGAUAUAAAGAAUACAUGUAGAUGCAAGGCCCGCAGAGGAUUUCAGAACAAGACUCUAG